UACGUAGGUGGCAAGCGUUGUCCGGAUUGACUGGGCGUAAAGCGCACGCAGGCGGCUUGGCGCGUGGGGUGUGAAAGGUAGCGGCUUAACUGCUACACGCCAUCCCAUACGGCCGAGCUCGAGCCAUGCAGAGGUCCACGGAAUUGCCGGUGUAGUGGUGAAAUGCGUAGAGAUCGGGAGGAACACCUGUGGCGAAGGCGGCCCCCUGGGCCGGCCCUGACACUGAGACGCGAAGGCGUGGGGAGCGAACGGG
rnacentral:rRNA from 1 species